UACGGAGGAUGCGAGCGUUAUCCGGAUUUAUUGGGUUUAAAGGGUGCGUAGGCGGCUUUUUAAGUCAGCGGUGAAAUUUUGCAGCUUAACUGUAACAGUGCCGUUGAUACUGGGGAGCUAGGAUUUGGUUGCUGUGGGUGGAAUGUGUGGUGUAGCGGUGAAAUGCUUAGAGAUCACACAGAAUAUCGAUUGCGAAGGCAGCUCACAAAGCCAAGAUUGACGCUGAGGCACGAAAGCCAGGGGAGCAAACGGGAUUAGA
rnacentral:rRNA from 1 species